rnacentral:rRNA from 1 species
UACGUAGGGUGCAAGCGUUGUCCGGAAUUAUUGGGCGUAAAGAGCUCGUAGGCGGUUUGUCGCGUCUGCUGUGAAAACUCGGGGCUUAACCCCGGGCCUGCAGUGGGUACGGGCAGACUAGAGUGAUGUAGGGGAGACUGGAAUUCCUGGUGUAGCGGUGAAAUGCGCAGAUAUCAGGAGGAACACCGAUGGCGAAGGCAGGUCUCUGGGCUGACACUGACGCUCAUGCACGAAAGCGUGGGGAGCAAACAGG